rnacentral:rRNA from 1 species
UAUGAAGGUCAGGCUGAAGACCUUACCCGAUUAGCUGAGAGGUGGUGCAUGGCCGUCGUCAGUUCGUACUGUGAAGCAUCCUGUUAAGUCAGGCAACGAGCGAGACCCACGUCCACAGUUGCCAGCAUACCCUCCGGGGUGAUGGGUACACUGUGGAGACCGCCGCUGCUAAAGCGGAGGAAGGAGUGGGCAACGGUAGGUCAGUAUGCCCCGAAUCUCCCGGGCUACGCGCGGGCUACAAUGGUUGGUACAAUGGGCAUCUACCCCGAAAGGGGAAGGAAAUCUCUUAAAGCCAAUCGUAGUUCGGAUUGAGGGCUGCAACUCGCCCUCAUGAAGCUGGAAUCCGUAGUAAUCGCGUUUCAACAGAACGCGGUGAAUACGUCCCUGCUCCUU